UGCCAUAUCAUCACAUUCAAACAUCGGUUCUCGUACGAUCACCGAAGUUAAGGAACGUCGAGCCUGGUCCGUACCUAGAUGGGUGACCGUUUGAGAUUACCAGUUGCU